GUCUGGAAUCCUGAAGAGAUUUAGGAGUGCUCGCAAGAGAACCGGAACACAGGUGCUGCAUGGCUGUCGUCAGCUCGUGUCGUGAGAUGUUGGGUUAAGUCCCGCAACGAGCGCAACCCUUGCCAUUAGUUGCUACAUUUAGUUGGGCACUCUAAUGGGACUGCCGGUGACAAACCGGAGGAAGGUGGGGAUGACGUCAAGUCCUCAUGGCCCUUAUGGGUAGGGCUUCACACGUCAUACAAUGGUCGGGACAGAGGGUUGCCAAGCCGCGAGGUGGAGCCAAUCUCAGAAACCCGAUCGUAGUCCGGAUCGCAGUCUGCAACUCGACUGCGUGAAGUCGGAAUCGCUAGUAAUCGCGGAUCAGCAUGUCGCGGUGAAUACGUUCCCGGGUCUUGUACACACCGCCCGUCACACCAUGGGAGUGGGUUUCACCAGAAGUAGGUAGCCUAACCGUAAGGAGGGCGCUUACCACGGUGAGAUUCAUGACUGGGGUGAAGUCGUAACAAGGUAAGCGUAGUGCU
rnacentral:rRNA from 1 species